rnacentral:rRNA from 1 species
CCUACGGGAGGCAGCAGUGAGGAAUAUUGGUCAAUGGGCGUAAGCCUGAACCAGCCAAGUCGCGUGAGGGAUGAAGGUUCUAUGGAUUGUAAACCUCUUUUAUAAGGGAAUAAAAUGUGGGACGCGUCCUAUUUUGUAUGUACCUUAUGAAUAAGCAUCGGCUAACUCCGUGCCAGCAGCCGCGGUAAUACGGAGGAUCCGAGCGUUAUCCGGAUUUAUUGGGUUUAAAGGGUGCGUAGGCGGCCUUUUAAGUCAGCGGUGAAAGUCUGUGGCUCAACCCUAGAAUUGCCGUUGAAACUGGGGGGCUUGAGUAUGUGUGAGGCAGGCGGAAUGCGUGGUGUAGCGGUGAAAUGCUUAGAUAUCACGCAGAACCCCGAUUGCGAAGGCAGCCUGCCAGGCCAUAACUGACGCUGAUGCACGAAAGCGUGGGGAUCAAACAGGAUUAGAUACCCUAGUAGUC